AAGCGCUAUGGAUAAAAGCACAUGCAUUCCGUGUGUGUGUAAAUGAAUUAUAGGCUUAUACAUGAUAUUUCUUGCUCCGAAGUAGCUUUGCUGUACAGUUGGAGAGAUAUUGCUUUUAAAAACAAAUAGUAUCAUAUAUAAUAUAGGGGUUUGGAAAUGCUGGUAACAAAAAACUAUGCCAUGCAGGAAAAAUAAUAAUAAUAAUCAAAUCCCCUGAUUUGGUAUUGUUAUCCCUGUAGGCUUCGAAUCAUUCUGUGGGUAAUUUCCCUGCGUCUAAAUUAGUUUGGGUAAAAAUGAAGCAAGCUGAAAAUUCCAUAUAAUGAAAACAGAUGUAACUCUUGGGUCUUUGGACCUUUCGAUAUUCUUUGGUGUUGUCAUUAAUCCAGCAUUGCAGAAUGGCAUAAUAGGACUCUCCUGUUUCAGGAUUAUCAGUCUUUCCUGUCAUGACAUCUCCUCUAUUAUGAUGAAUCAAAUAAAAAACCUGGACAACUGAAGAUUGUUCUGGGAAGAGUCAACAGUAGCUGUAUGCUCUUACAUAUUUGUGCAGUUUAAAUACGUUAUUAUAAAGGUUUAUGUUUCCAAGCAGUUUAUUUGCUUUAUUUGUUCUUAUGGACACGAACCCAUCUUCCGUAAUUCAGUGGUCCACAUAUAAAACACUGAAAAAAAGGUGAAGCUAAAGCAUCAGGUAACCGCUACAAGCAUCCAGGAAAUUAUUACCAGGAUUAUGCACAUGAUUUUUGGAAGUGAUGUAUUCACUGUCAACCAAGGACGGAUCAACCAUUUACAAGUGUGCCACUGCCUCUCAGCUCAUUUUAUGAAGAGACAAUAUUAUGACCGUGCACAUGACUCUUGUCCUGAGGUUUGUGGAUAACAUCGAGUUUGUCUUCUGCCCGGCAGAGUCAGACAGCUGCGUGGUUCUGGUGAGUCAUAUCCAGUCUCUGGGGUCACAAGUCCCGACCUCUCACAGCCAUAGCGACUGCUGCACUGCCCGCCAGCAACACAGCCCUUUUGCCAGUUUUUCAUUUCCCAGUUCGGCACUGCAGUUGUAUUCUUAAGUAAGAUGCUUAAUCUGACCUGCUUCAAUAAAUAUCCAGCUUUAUUAACAGAAUUUAUUCAUAUUGUCUUGAAUAGGGGUGCCUACUAGGUAAAAUAUAUCGCAUAUUACAGUAAUGUAAUAAUGUAUCUUGUAACGUAGAAGCAUUUAGGUAGUCUGGCAUAAUUUGAGGUGGGAGGAGUAGUGGUAUUGACUGGUUGUCCCACCCCAUUGCUAUCCAUUUCCUGUUUUCAUCCAGAAUUAAUAAAAUGAGGUUACGACAGACUGCGAUGUAUCCAUGGCUAUCACACCAAAAGGAAAUCCAGCAUAUAAUCCGAUGGUACAGCUUUGUUCUGAGUUAUGCUCCAUUGUGUAGAUGUGUAACAGUGUGUCUUAUCCUUAUUUAAUUAAACCUGUUUUCUCCUCCCUCCACCAUCUAGGGUCAUUCAGUGUCACGCAGCUGGUGAUCCUAGAUUCAGCAACUAACGUUCGCAAUAUGUACAAUCUAUUGAAAGCCUCUCACACAGGGGUGGCAGACUGACCUCCCGUGGGGCCUCCCGCCUCUCUCCUCAGCUGAUCCCCUCAGCCUCUCCUCUUUGCUGCUUAAUGGGCCUAAUUAUGCACUGGGGCGCGAAGGUGACCGUGUGAAAAUUUAAGCAAGAUUUUUAUACUCGCCCCAUGUCACCGCACUGAAUAAGCAUUCCUCUGGCUUGCCAGUGAUACUCUGGUGCAUGAUGUUAGCUCUCCUAGGCAGCAGUGUUAAAGAGGCUGUCUGUCUCUGCUGAGGGCAUUAUCGUGGUACGCAAAGUUGUUCUGUUGAGCCUCUCUGAAUAGAUCAUGUAUGGGGAGUCCAGUAAUCUUCCUCAUCACUGUGACACAUUGGGCAUGUGAGAGUGAGUUUGAGUAAUGCUGCGCUUUGCAGGUAGUGGACUGAGCUCCACCCUGGGAUUCAGUGAAUUGUCCAGUGACAGGAACUGCACACAGUACUCCACUGCAGAGCAGUUUCUGGGCCUGUAAGCCCUUUUUCUAUCACAUUGAUGCAUCAGAGGCACUUUGAGAGGCUUGGAAGUACCUGCAUUUCAUUUGCAGACUGUAGCUUUGAUAAUACCAGCCAUUGGAAUUUUUUAGUCCCAUGUCAUAGUAUUGUUGUGCGCUACAUCUUAGUAAGUCUGUGAAGGUUGUAAACACCAAUAAAUUGCUUGUCUUGCUUAAAUG